AUCAGAGUGUCAACAUUUACGUUUACUGUCAUCUACUUGAAAAUCUCAUCGAAAAUGGAUCUUCAGAAAAUGUUCGAUCAAGCUAGGAAGGAGGUUAAAAUGCAGAAGGCAAUUACUGCAAGCAGCCUGACCGAAGGAAGAUAUUAUCAUAUCCAUGCAAUAAGGAUGGUGAACACAAAGUUUGGGAAAACCUACAUUGCAGAGUUGGAGAAAAAUAUCAGUAUUUGGCUCCCGAAAUCAUGGACAAAGCGGAUGAACGGAGAUGAACUGAUAAAAAUUUCAGCAGACGAUAUGUGGGAGCUGGCCUACCAUGGCAAAGAUGCAGGAGGAAAUUUCGUUAAUUUGGAUGUAAGAAAGAAGAGUAAUUGAUUUAAUCUUUUUGUGGUUUGACAAAUAAAAGAUUUUGUAAAAUGUA